ACCUCAACUUUCAUUUAACAAUAAAUGUUUCCACCCCCUCCUGCUUGCAAAGAAAAGAGUAAAAAAUGUGAACUGAAUGGAAGUGAUGCAGUGACGUCUGCAGCCACCAGCCAGAGGAGGAGCUACAGCCACUAGAGUAGAGGAAGAAGCCACUUGUUCUUAGAUCCAGUCUAGUUUGCCACUGCUCCAAGGACACCAGGCUGGUCAGAGUGGGCUUGGACGCCCACUGGGAUCUGCAGGUUUGGCUCUCCCUGCAUGCCCACCAGGAUCUUCCUCUGCAGAAUACAAUAUGGCCCAAACGCAUGUCAUCCAGGAAAUAUUGAGCUGGCUGUAGGAGAUGGCCUGGCAAGAGAAGAAUUAGAUUACAAGAAUGAGAAGCAGUAGGAAGCGAAUAGAGUGGUAGAAGCACACCAGUCAUUUUGUAUGGCUUUGGGGACUAUGAGAAGUGCUUUAACUCAAUGGAAAUACAAGCUUUGUGGAAACACUGGAUAAGAAAGGAGCAGAAGCCCCAUAGUUUCUGAAUACCCUAAAACAUCUAGGUGGAUAGCACAAUAAUAUUUAAGCAUGAAAAAUAGAGUGCAAAGAUCAUUUUGAAGUGUGAAAUUAACAGAUUCUUCACCUUCUGCCUGGAGAAAACUUUCAAGGUUUCCGAGAAUAAAGAAAAGGACUCAAGCACCGGAGCCACCUCAGCUUUGCACAUGACACAUCUUUGCUGAAGCUAAAGACCUUGAAGCAAACAGGAGGGAACUCAAGACUGAGGAAUGUGGACGUCAGAUCCUUUUGCAAAUGACCCAAAUCCUAUUCCUCACAAAGACAGAAGGAAAAAAAGAUCACAGUGGGUAGGAAACAGUUGGAAGCUGUAAAGGAAUAUGUCUGUAUAGUCCGCAAGAUAGAUAAUAUUCCAAACCAGGAAAAUGUGAGGAGAAGAAUCAAACCAAGAUAUGUGGAGUUUUUAGGAAACUGACAGGCUAAUAAAGACAGGGUCAGAUAAGGGUCUGUGCAAGUCCAGAGUAAUAUUAUUUUAAAAAGAGAACAAACAAGCUCUGUCUAAAACAAAUAAAAUAAAAGAUAGAUUGAUGUGUGUACUGUCACCUUUGGCAGAUAGAGAGCAUAGUCAUAGUAGAAACUAGUGGGAUGACUGGGCAGUAACAAAAGGCAGGAACAGUCAAUAGGGUCUGUUCAGUAGGGAAGAAUCUUUGUAUUGUAAUAACAGCCAAACAAAGAAACACAGGCAAAAAAAGAGUAACAAGAGAUAUAAAAAAUUUAAAAAAAUCUCCAUCAAGAGAAAAUUAAUUGUGAUUAACCGUGAUGUUAAACAAUAAGAGAAUACUAUUUAUUUAAAUAUUUGUGGAUGUUUUCUACAUUUUAAAAUAUAUUGAUUUCAGUUACAACACGGAAUA